UACGGGGGGAGCAAGCGUUGUUCGGAUUUACUGGCGUAAAGGGCGCGUAGGCGGUCAGCACAAGUCAGUUGUGAAAUCUCCGGGCUUAACUCGGAAAGGUCAACUGAUACUGUGCGACUAGAGUGCGGAAGGGGCAACUGGAAUUCUCGGUGUAGCGGUGAAAUGCGUAGAUAUCGAGAGGAACACCUGCGGCGAAGGCGGGUUGCUGGGCCGACACUGACGCUGAUGCGCGAAGCAGGGAGGCGAACGGG
rnacentral:rRNA from 1 species